CCUAAGGUAGCGAAAUUCCUUGUCAGGUAAGUUCUGACCCGCACGAAUGGCGUAAUGAUUUGGGCACUGUCUCGACAGCCCGCCCGGCGAAAUUGUAGUACUGGUGAAGAUGCCAGUUACCCGCAACUAGACGGAAAGACCCCAUGGAGCUUUACUGCAGUUUAAUACUGGGAAUCGGUAAUUCAUGUACAGGAUAGGUGGGAGACUGAGAAGCAUGGCCGUCAGGUCGUGUGGAGUCACCGGUGGGAUACCACUCUUGGAUUGCUGGUUUCCUAACCUGCGGCCCUGAAUCGGGUCGGGGGACACUGUUAGACGGGCAGUUUGACUGGGGCGGUCGCCUCCAAAAGAGUAACGGAGGCGCUCAAAGGUUCGUUCAGCACGGACGGAAAUCGUGCAUUGAGUGUAAACGCAUAAACGAGCCUAACUGCGAGACCGACGGGUCGAGCAGUAACGAAAGUUGGAGUUAGUGAUCCGGUGGUAUGUGAGUGGAAAUGCCAUCGCUCAACGGAUAAAAGCUACCCUGGGGAUAACAGGCUGAUCUCCCCCAAGCGUCCACAGCGACGGGGAGGUUUGGCACCUCGAUGUCGGCUCGUCGCAUCCUGGGGCUGUAUUCGGUCCCAAGGGUUUGGCUGUUCGCCAAUUAAAGCGGCACGCGAGCUGGGUUCAGAACGUCGUGAGACAGUUCGGUCCCUAUCUGUUGCGGGCGUAAGAGAUUUGAAGGGAGCUGUCCUUAGUACGAGAGGACCGGGAUGGACGUACCUCUGGUGCACCAGUUGUCCUGCCAAGGGCAUAGCUGGGUAGCUAUGUACGGACGAGAUAAACGCUGAAAGCAUCUAAGCGUGAAACUCUCCCUAAGAUGAGAUCUCUCAUCCAUUAUGGAGUAAGGGCCCAGAAAGACGAUCUGGUUGAUAGGCCGGAGGUGGAAGCACGGUAACGUGUGUAGCUGACCGGUACUAAUAGCCCGAGGGCUUGACCUA
rnacentral:rRNA from 1 species